rnacentral:rRNA from 1 species
UCGGGAAUUUUGGGCAAUGGGCGAAAGCCUGACCCAGCAACGCCGCGUGAAGGAUGAAGUAUUUCGGUAUGUAAACUUCGAAAGAAUAGGAAGAAUAAAUGACGGUACUAUUUAUAAGCUCCGGCUAACUACGUGCCAGCAGCCGCGGUAAUACGUAGGGAGCAAGCGUUGUUCGGAUUUACUGGGCGUAAAGGGCGCGUAGGCGGCGCGGUAAGUCACUUGUGAAAUCUCUGAGCUUAACUCAGAACGGCCAAGUGAUACUGCAGUGCUAGAGUGCAGAAGGGGCAAUCGGAAUUCUUGGUGUAGCGGUGAAAUGCGUAGAUAUCAAGAGGAACACCUGAGGUGAAGACGGGUUGCUGGGCUGACACUGACGCUGAGGCGCGAAAGCUAGGGGAGCAAACGGGAUUAGAUACCCCCGUAGUCCCUGAGCGGGCUGGCAAGGCGCAU